GAGGAAUAAGCAUCGGCUAACUCCGUGCCAGCAGCCGCGGUAAUACGGGGGAUGCAAGCGUUAUCCGGAAUCAUUGGGCGUAAAGCGCCUGUAGGUGGUUUAAUAAGUCUGUUGUUAAAGACUAGGGCUUAACCCUAGGAAAGCAAUGGAAACUAAUAGACUAGAGUAUGGCAGGGGUAGAGGGAAUUUCUAGUGUAGCGGUGAAAUGCGUAGAUAUUAGAAAGAACACCAGUGGCGAAAGCGCUCUACUGGACCAUUACUGACACUCAGAGGCGAAAGCUAGGGUAGCAAAAGGGAUUAGAUACCCCUGUAGUCCUAGCCGUAAACGAUGGAUACUAGAUGUUGUGUUUUCUCACAGUGUCGCAGCUAACGCGUUAAGUAUCCCGCCUGGGGAGUACGCUCGCAAGGGUGAAACUCAAAGGAAUUGACGGGGGCCCGCACAAGCGGUGGAGCAUGUGGUUUAAUUCGAUGCAACGCGAAGAACCUUACCAGGGCUUGACAUACUGCAGAUCUUUUUGAGAAAGAAGAGUGCCUUCGGGAAUGCAGAUACAGGUGGUGCAUGGCUGUCGUCAGCUCGUGUCGUGAGAUGUUGGGUUAAGUCCCGCAACGAGCGCAACCCUUAUUUUUAGUUACCAACUUGUUGGGUUCUCUAGAAAGACUGCCGGUGACAAACCGGAGGAAGGUGAGGAUGACGUCAAGUCAGCAUGCCCCUUAUGUCCUGGGCUACACACGUGCUACAAUGGUUAAGACAAAGAGUCGCGAGUUCGUGAGAACCAGCUAAUCUCGUAAACUUAGCCUAAGUUCAGAUUGUAGGCUGCAACUCGCCUAGGCAUGAAG
rnacentral:rRNA from 1 species